AAAUGUAUUUAGGGACAUAGCUACAUGAACUGAUUGCUACUGAGCUCUCCUAAUUUCUCCUGUGAACAUGGGUGGCUGGAUGGCUGUGACCUUAUGCUCCGCUCUUGGUUAGCAUAUUAUACAAUGUGAUUAAUUGGAUGYGUCUCCUAGCAAUCCUGAGAGUUGAAGAGAUGACAGGAGAGCCAGAGCUGUCAACUUUGUCAACUGCAGAGCUUUAUAUCUCCCAUAUUUUAGAAGAUUUUUGAUACUGUCCUUCCCAUGCCCUCUAACUGGAAGACUCCACAAUGUGGGAGUUUUGUUCCCUCUCAACUCCAUGCCUAGCUGUAAGCAUUAAUCUCUUGUGGGCAAGAGGUCCACUUUUGGCUCUGAUACACUUAUAAUUAGGCCUCCGUGUUGAAGACUGCGGAAGUUUUGGAGAGACUGAUCAAAUGGUGAUGAUGAAAAACCUUACAGAAGUCCAACUAAGCAACAUUCACUGCUCUCCCCUCAUCCACUAAACCAGUCAUUUCGUCACAGGAGCCUAUUUGUGUGGUUAAACUGAAUUUCCCUUUCAUAACUCUAUGCUGAAUAUUCAUGAUCCCCUUCCAAUC